UACGAAGGGGGCUAGCGUUGCUCGGAAUUACUGGGCGUAAAGCGCACGUAGGCGGAUCGUUAAGUCGGGGGUGAAAUCCUGGAGCUCAACUCCAGAACUGCCUUCGAUACUGGCGAUCUCGAGUUCGGGAGAGGUGAGUGGAACUGCGAGUGUAGAGGUGAAAUUCGUAGAUAUUCGCAAGAACACCAGCGGCGAAGGCGGCGCUCUGGGCCGGUACUGACGCUGAGGAGCGAAAGCGUGGGGAGCAAACGGG
rnacentral:rRNA from 1 species